rnacentral:rRNA from 1 species
CCUACGGGAGGCUGCAGUGGGGAAUAUUGGACAAUGGGCGAAAGCCUGAUCCAGCCAUGCCGCGUGUGUGAAGAAGGCCUUCGGGUUGUAAAGCACUUUCAGUGGGGAAGAAAGCCUUGGGGCUAAUACCCUCGAGGAAGGACAUCACCCACAGAAGAAGCACCGGCUAACUCCGUGCCAGCAGCCGCGGUAAUACGGCGGGUGCGAGCGUUAAUCGGAAUUACUGGGCGUAAAGCGCGCGUAGGCGGUCUGAUAAGCCGGUUGUGAAAGCCCCGGGCUCAACCUGGGAACGGCAUCCGGAACUGUCAGGCUAGAGUGCAGGAGAGGAAGGUAGAAUUCCCGGUGUAGCGGUGAAAUGCGUAGAGAUCGGGAGGAAUACCAGUGGCGAAGGCGGCCUUCUGGACUGACACUGACGCUGAGGUGCGAAAGCGUGGGUAGCAAACAGGAUUAGAUACCCCAGUAGUC